rnacentral:lncRNA from 10 species
CAGCCACUAGCCAUUGAGUCCACGGAGCACUUGAAACGCGGCUUGGCCGACUCUGGGCACACCGCCUGUGAGUUAGUGCUCCUCUGCAAGGAGGAGUUAAAAAAAAAAAAAGGAAGAAAGAAACAUGGCUAGAGUGACAAAGAGUGAAAUUUUAAAUUUUAUUUCAUUUUCAUUUAUUUAAAUUUAAGUGGUUAGCGCAAGUAGAAGGAGCAAGAUAAGAAUAAUAUCAAUACAGAGCUGAACUCCGCUUCCCCAGCAUGGGAACCUUCCUGUUCCACAGCACGACUUUCUCCAGAAAGAAGUCUGAGGUGGCCUCAGGCUGAGCCACAGGCAUGGGCACAGCCUGCCACUGAGGCUCCACUCAUCGGGGGCCUGGGAAGAGACUGAGAGGCUCGGAACCCUAGAGAGUCUGCAAAGCCAGGAAGCAUCCAGUUCUGGUUUCAUGUUGGGUGCUGUCGUUACCUUGCUUCUUCUACUUAAGCUUAUGGCAAUUUAAAUUUAAAUUAAUUAAAAUGAAAUAAAAUUGAAAACUCAGUUUCUCAGUUAGCUCCAACCCCAUUUGAAGUGCUCAAAGGCCACGCAUGACUAACGGCUACAUCGGAUACCACAUCGGAUACCACAUCAGAUACCACAUCGGAUGGAGCAGAUGUGGGACAUUCCCAUCAUUGCGGAAAGUUCAGUUGGCUGGUGCUGCCCUCAGGAAUUUGAGAAUCUGAUGAUUGCAGCUGGAAAGACUGCAGAGAGCACCUGGGUCAACCUUUUCAUUUUGCAUAAAGGGAAAUAGGCCCAGAGAAAGAAAAGGGACUGUCCCAAGAUCGCACAGCAACCAUUUUGACCUUCAACAAGUACUCCCUGACUCCAAGCAAUAAGGGUGAAAAAAUAAGGAAUAAAUUGUAUAAAGCACGUA